AAGAGCCGGAUGUGGGAAAUCCACAAGUCCGGUUCUGUGAGGGGCAUUGACGUUUCUCACAUGUUUAUGAAAAUGAAAUGUAAAUUGAAUAUGGAGAAACCAUAUUAUGUCUACUCGAC
rnacentral:ncRNA from 1 species